UCGGGAAUUUUGCCCAAUGGACGAAAGUCUGAGGCAGCAACUCCGCGUGAGGGAUGAAGGCUCUCGGGUCGUAAACCUCUUUUCUCAGGGAAGAUCCAAGACGGUACCUGAGGAAUAAGCGACGGCUAACUACGUGCCAGCAGCCGCGGUAAUACGUAGGUCGUAAGCGUUGUUCGGAUUUACUGGGCGUAAAGAGCGCGCAGGCGGCUGGCCAAGUUCGAUGUGAAAUCUCCCGGCUCAACUGGGAAACUGCAUCGGAAACUGGUCGGCUAGAAGGAAGGAGAGGGUAGUGGAAUUCCCGGUGUAGUGGUGAAAUGCGUAGAUAUCGGGAAGAACACCGGUGGCGAAGGAGACUACCUGGCCCAUUCUUGACGCGGAGGCGCGAAAGCUAGGGGAGCGAACGGG
rnacentral:rRNA from 1 species